rnacentral:rRNA from 1 species
CUUUGGGAUAACCCUCGGAAACGGGGGCUAAUACCGAAUAUGACUGCGCAUCGCAUGGUGUGUGGUGGAAAGUUUUUCGGCCUGGGAUGGGCUCGCGGCCUAUCAGCUUGUUGGUGGGGUGAUGGCCUACCAAGGCGACGACGGGUAGCCGGCCUGAGAGGGCGACCGGCCACACUGGGACUGAGACACGGCCCAGACUCCUACGGGAGGCAGCAGUGGGGAGUAUUGCACAAUGGGCGGAAGCCUGAUGCAGCGACGCCGCGUGAGGGAUGACGGCCUUCGGGUUGUAAACCUCUUUCAGCAGGGACGAAGCGUAAGUGACGGUACCUGCAGAAGAAGCGCCGGCCGACUACGUGCCAGCAGCCGCGGUAAGACGUAGGGCGCGAGCGUUGUCCGGAUUUAUUGGGCGUAAAGAGCUCGUAGGCGGCUUGUCGCGCCGACCGUGAAAACCUGGGGCUCAACCCCAGGCCUGCGGUCGAUACGGGCAGGCUAGAGUUCGGUAGGGGAGACUGGAAUUCCUGGUGUAGCGGUGAAAUGCGCAGAUAUCAGGAGGAACACCGGUGGCGAAGGCGGGUCUCUGGGCCGAUACUGACGCUGAGGAGCGAAAGCGUGGGGAGCGAACAGGAUUAGAUACCCUGGUAGUCCACGCUGUAAACGUUGGGCGC